UACGUAGGGUGCGAGCGUUAAUCGGAAUUACUGGGCGUAAAGGGCGCGUAGGCGGCCUUCUAAGUCGAACGUGAAAUCCCCGGGCUCAACCCGGGAACUGCGUCCGAUACUGGAAGGCUUGAAUCCGGGAGAGGGAUGCGGAAUUCCGAGGUGUAGCGGUGAAAUGCGUAGAUAAUCUGGAGGAACACCGGUGGCGAAGG
rnacentral:rRNA from 1 species